rnacentral:rRNA from 1 species
CCUACGGGAGGCAGCAGUGGGGAAUAUUGGGCAAUGGGCGCAAGGCUGACCCAGCAACGCCGCGUGAAGGAAGAAGGCUUCAGGGUUGUAAACUUUUUUUCUCAGGGACGAAGCAAGUGACGGUACCGGAGGAAUAAGCCAAGGCUAACUACGUGCCAGCAGCCGCGGUAAUACGUAGGUGGCAAGCGUUAUCCGGAUUUAAUGGGUUUAAAGGGGUUGUGGGCGGGGAAGCAAGUCAGAUGUGAAAACCACGGGCUCAACCUGUGGCCUGCAUUUGAAACUGUGUGUCUUGAGUACUGGGGAGGCAGACGGAAUUCCCAGUGUAGCGGUGAAAUGCGUAGAUAUUAGGCGGAACACCAGUGGCGAAGGCGGUCUGCUGGACAGCAACUGACGCUGAGGCGCGAAAGCGUGGGGAGCAAACAGGAUUAGAUACCCUUGUAGUC